rnacentral:rRNA from 1 species
UACGUAGGGCGCAAGCGUUAUCCGGAAUUAUUGGGCGUAAAGAGCUCGUAGGCGGUUUGUCGCGUCUGCCGUGAAAGCCCCGGGGCUUAACUCCGGGUCUGCAUUCGAUACGGGCAGGCUAGAGUGUGGUAGGGGAGAUCGGAAUUCCUGGUGUAGCGGUGAAAUGCGCAGAUAUCAGGAGGAACACCGGUGGCGAAGGCGGAUCUCUGGGCCAUUACUGACGCUGAGGAGCGAAAGCGUGGGGAGCGAACAGG